GACGAACGCUGGCGGCGUGCUUAACACAUGCAAGUCGAACGGAAAGGCCCUGCUUGCAGGGUGCUCGAGUGGCGAACGGGUGAGUAACACGUGGGUGAUCUGCCCCUUACUUUGGGAUAAGCCUGGGAAACUGGGUCUAAUACUGGAUAGGACCAUGCUGUAGGUGGUGUGGUGGAAAGAUUAGUUUCGGUAAGGGAUGAGCUCGCGGCCUAUCAGCUUGUUGGUGGGGUAAUGGCCUACCAAGGCGUCGACGGGUAGCCGGCCUGAGAGGGUGGACGGCCACAUUGAGACUGAGAUACGGCCCAGACUCCUACGGGAGGCAGCAGUGGGGAAUAGUGCACAAUGGGCGCAAGCCUGAUGCAGCGACGCCGCGUGGGGGAUGACGGCCUUCGGGUUGUAAACUCCUUUCGGCCAUGACGAAGCCCUUGUGGUGACGGUAGUGGUAGAAGAAGCACCGGCUAACUACGUG
rnacentral:rRNA from 1 species